AGGAGCAACGGAUAAGCAGCGCCGCCAUGGAACCAGUGAUCAGAGGGGGCAAUGGGACGGUGUCUUCCUAACUCCAAACCAUGAGCAGUGUCCGGAGCCUGUCUAACCUCUCAGACCGUGGGAGGCGGUGAGGAGUGGAAACCCGGAGCAGCUGUGGAGGAGGGAGGUGACUGGCCUGGAGAUGGCAUUUAAUGUAUUGGCUGGAUGGCACAGCAUUCCAUUUAAUGAAGUCAAAUGAGGGCUACAUCUUCAAUUUUCUGAGCCUAACGAUCAAACAGAAGCAGCCUAGAUAAUCCAGCCUUGGAAGAGCCCAGGAAAGGAGGAACAAGAAAAGCCAGUGGAGAAUAAUGAUCUACGCUAGAGAACAAAAGGUGUUUGAACUGGAGAUGGUGGGCAUGCCUGUGGCCCCAGUGCUCUGGAGGCUGAGGUUGAAGGAUUGAGAAGCCCAGCCUGGGUCACAGAAGAGUUCAA